GCCGCGAUGGUGGAAUUGGUAGACACGCAAGACUUAAAAUCUUGUUCCUUCGGGAGUGUGGGUUCGAUUCCCACUCGCGGCACCA
rnacentral:tRNA from 1 species